CAAGAGCAUCAGCAGCACCCAGAGCGCACUGAGCAAGAGCUCGGCAGCAGAGGAAGAUGGGAAGGGUCAGUCUGAGAAUCUGAGUCCAAAGAAGCCAGACGCCUCUGAAAAGCAAAUCAGACUGAAUGAGGAGAGAUUCGAGAAGCUUCUUAAAACAUUAUCCUCCAUCUCCAGAAACCUGAGAGCCCAGCUGCAGAGGAAGACUCUAC